GAGCUAUAAGAAGGAUUUCGAAGAUGCACCGCCACUUAAGAAGGUGUCUCCGACUGGAGACAAGUUGAAAAAAUUAUUUUUAAAAAAUCAGGACAACACAUUGGAAGAGCAGAUACAUUUCAUCUUUGAAGGCCUUGAUAUGUUUAUUAUUAUAAUUUAAGAUUAAAACCUAUGCAAGAUGGUCAUCAGAUGGACCCUAACAACGUUCCUGAUUCUAACAGGUUUCAGGAUAGCCAUUGCACUGGCAACAACAUCAAGUCUGACACCUGCAACAACAACAAUGAAAGCAGUGACAACACCAGUGAAAACAGCUGCUGUAACGACAGCAGAAUCCACAACACCUGCUGAAACUACAGCAGAACCCAUACCAUCAGAGGCAACAACUACAGAGACAACACCUGAUGAAACAACUACAGAUCCUACAACAACUGCAGUGACCACACCUGUUGAAACAACUACAGAAUCCAGAACAACUGCCGUGACAACAGCCGUUGAAGCAAGAGCAGAACCCACCACAACAGAGGCCACAACGGAAGGAACAGCUGCUGAAAUAACAAGAGAACCCACAAAAACCGAAGCAACAACUGCAGUGGCAACACCUUCUGAAACCACAGGAGAACCCACAACACCUGCUGAACCAACAGCAGGACCAACAACACCAUCAAAGGCAACAACUGCUGUGACGACAGCCGAUGAAACAACAAAACUAGCAACAACAGAAGAACCCACCACAGCAGAGGCAACAACUGCAGAGACAAGAGCUGCUGAAAAAACUGCAGUGACAACACUUGCUGAAACCACAGCAAAGUCCACAACACCUGCUGCAACUACAGCAGAAAUCACACAAUCAGAGGCAACAAUUACAGUGACACCUGAUGAAACAAAUACAGAUCUUACAACGAAAUCAGUGACCAUGCCUGCUGAAACAACUACAGAAUCUAGAACAACUGCCAUGACAACAGCGAUUGAAACAAAAGCUGAACCCACCACAACAGAGGCAACAACUGCAGGAACAACUGCUGAAAUAAAAACAAGAGAACCCACAAAAACCGAAGCAAAACCUGCAGUGACAACAGCUGCUGUAACCGCAGCAGAACCCACAACACCUGCUGAAACUACAGCAGAACCUACACCAUCAGAGGCAAGAACUGCCGUGACAACACCUGAUGAAACAACUACAGAUCCUACAACGACUGCAGUGACCACACCUGCUGAAACAACUGCAGAAUCCAGAACAACUGUUGUGACAACAGGUAGUGAAACGAUAGCAGAACCCACCACAACAGAGGCAACAACAGAAGGAACAGCUGCUGAAAUAACAAAAAGAGAACCCACCAAAACCGAAGCAACAACUGCAGUGACAACACGUUCUGAAACCACAGGAGAACCCACAACACCUAGUGAAACUAAAGCAGGACCUACACCAUCAGAGGCAAAAACUGCUGUGACAACACCUGCUAAAACAACAAUCAAAGCAACAAAAAAAGCAACAGCAAGUGCAGUAACAGCACCUACCGACACAACAAAACUAGCAGUGACAACACCUACUGAAACAACAACAGAACCUACAACAACUAAAGCAACAACUACAGUGACAACGUCUGUUGAAACAACAACAGUAUCAACAACUGAAGCAACAACUACACUGAAAGCACCCACUGAAACAACGCUAUCAGCAACAGGAGCAACAACACCUGCUGAAACAAUAACAGAAUCCACAACAACUGUGGCAACAGCUCCAGUGACAGCCCGUUCUGAAACAACAACCAUCGGAACGUUAAUGGCAGUGACAACGUCCACCAAAACAACAACAGCCACUACAACAGAGGCAACGACUGCAGUUACAAUACCUGCUGAAACAACAAUCAUAGCAACAAAAAACACAUCAAGUGCAGUAACAGCACCUACUGAAACAACAAAACUAAUAGCAAUAGCACAAGCUACAACAACUGAAACGCCUGCACAGACAACUUCCCCCAAAACAGCAACCAUCACUGCAACAGAGGCAAUACCUUCAGAAACAGCAACUACAGUAACAACAACAGAAUCUACAGCUACUGUAACCAAAAGAGUGACUUUCAGGUCAAUUCAAAGCACAUUCACAAAUGACUUCCUGGAUCAGUCAUCUGCAGCUUUCCAGAAUAGAGCUAAUUUGAUAACACAACAGCUUGAGCCAAUAUUCCUGCAGGCUUUUCCUUUAUCUUUCAAGGUCCUGAUUAUAAUUGCAUUCAGAAGUGGGUCAAUCAUCAAUGAAAUGGAUGCUCAGUUCACAACCACAUCUACGCCAAGUAACAACGACGUUUCAAGUGCCUUGUCCACUGCAGCUUCAAGUAUCACUGGCUUUGACAUUGACACAAGUUCCAUUACUGUUGCUUCAACAACAACAGAUGUCACAACUCAUGCAACAACAGCAGAAACCACCCCAACAGAAGCAACAACAGUGACAACACCUGCUAAAACAACAACAAAAGCCACAACAAAUGAAGCAACGACUGCAGUGACAACACAUGUUGAAACAAUCAUGCUAGCAACAACAACUGAAGCAACAACUGCAGUGAAAACACCUACUGAAACAUCAACACUAGCAAUAACAGAACACACAAAGAGUGACGAAGCAACUACAGUGACAACACCUACUGAAACAUCAACUGUAGCAACAAAUGAAGCAACAAUAGAGCCUACAACUGAUGCAACAACUACAGUGACAACACCUGCAAAAACAACAACUGAAGAAACAACUACAAUGGCAACACUUGUUGAAACAACAACCACCGCUACAACUGAGGCAACAACUAUAGUGACAACACCUACUAAAACAACAAUAGCAACAACAAGUGAAGCAACAACUACAGUGGAAACACAAACUGAAACAACACUAUCAGCAACAGAAGCAACAAUUCCAGUGACAACACUUGCAGAAACAUCAACACUAGUAACAACAGCUGAAGCAACAACUAUAGUAACAAUUCCUUCUGAAACAUCAACACUAGUAACAACAACAGAACUCACAAAAACUAAGGAAGCAACUCCAUUGACAACAGCUACUGAAACAACAAUAGCAACAACUGAAGCGACAACUGCAGUGAAAAUACCCACUGAAACAAUGCUAUCAGCAACAGAAGCAACAACUACAGUGAAAUCACCCACUGAAACAACACUAGCAAACACAGAAGCAACAAGUUUAGUGACAACACCUACUGAAACAACAACGGAACCUACAACAACUAAAGCAACAACUACAGUGACACCGUCUGUUGAAACAACAACAGUAUCAACAACUGAAGCAACAACUACACUGAAAGCACCCACUGAAACAACGCUAUCAGCAACAGGAGCAACAACACCUGCUGAAACAAUAACAGAAUCCACAACAACUGUGGCAACAGCUCCAGUGACAGCCCGUUCUGAAACAACAACCAUCGGAACGUUAAUGGCAGUGACAACAUCCACCAAAACAACAACAGCCACUACAACAGAGGCAACGACUGCAGUUACAAUACCUGCUGAAACAACAAUCAUAGCAACAAAAAACACAUCAAGUGCAGUAACAGCACCUACUGAAACAACAAAACUAACAGCAAUAGCACAAGCUACAACAACUGAAACGCCUGCACAGACAACUCCCCCCAAAACAGCAACCAUCACUGCAACAGAGGCAAUACCUUCAGAAACAGCAACUACAGUAACAACAACAGAAUCUACAGCUACUGUAACCAAAAGAGUGACUUUCAGGUCAAUUCAAAGCACAUUCACAAAUGACUUCCUGGAUCAGUCAUCUGCAGCUUUCCAGAAUAGAGCUAAUUUGAUAACACAACAGCUUGAGCCAAUAUUCCUGCAGGCUUUUCCUUUAUCUUUCAAGGUCCUGAUUAUAAUUGCAUUCAGAAGUGGGUCAAUCAUCAAUGAAAUGGAUGCUCAGUUUACAACCACAUCUACGCCAAGUAACAACGACGUUUCAAGUGCCUUGUCCACUGCAGCUUCAAGUAUCACUGGCUUUGACAUUGACACAAGUUCCAUUACUGUUGCUUCAACAACAACAGAUGUCACAACUCAUGCAACAACAGCAGAAACCACCCCAACAGAAGCAACAACAGUGACAACACCUGCUAAAACAACAACAAAAGCCACAACAAAUGAAGCAACGACUGCAGUGACAACACAUGUUGAAACAAUCAUGCUAGCAACAACAACUGAAGCAACAACUGCAGUGAAAACACCUACUGAAACAUCAACACUAGCAAUAACAGAACACACAAAGAGUGACGAAGCAACUACAGUGACAACACCUACUGAAACAUCAACUGUAGCAACAAAUGAAGCAACAAUAGAGCCUACAACUGAUGCAACAACUACAGUGACAACACCUGCAAAAACAACAACUGAAGAAACAACUACAAUGGCAACACUUGUUGAAACAACAACCACCGCUACAACUGAGGCAACAACUAUAGUGACAACACCUACUAAAACAACAAUAGCAACAACAAGUGAAGCAACAACUACAGUGGAAACACAAACUGAAACAACACUAUCAGCAACAGAAGCAACAAUUCCAGUGACAACACUUGCAGAAACAUCAACACUAGUAACAACAGCUGAAGCAACAACUAUAGUAACAAUUCCUUCUGAAACAUCAACACUAGUAACAACAACAGAACUCACAAAAACUAAGGAAGCAACUCCAUUGACAACAGCUACUGAAACAACAAUAGCAACAACUGAAGCGACAACUGCAGUGAAAAUACCCACUGAAACAAUGCUAUCAGCAACAGAAGCAACAACUACAGUGAAAUCACCCACUGAAACAACACUAGCAAACACAGAAGCAACAAGUUUAGUGACAACACCUACUGAAACAACAACGGAACCUACAACAACUAAAGCAACAACUACAGUGACACCGUCUGUUGAAACAACAACAGUAUCAACAACUGAAGCAACAACUACACUGAAAGCACCCACUGAAACAACGCUAUCAGCAACAGGAGCAACAACACCUGCUGAAACAAUAACAGAAUCCACAACAACUGUGGCAACAGCUCCAGUGACAGCCCGUUCUGAAACAACAACCAUCGGAACGUUAAUGGCAGUGACAACAUCCACCAAAACAACAACAGCCACUACAACAGAGGCAACGACUGCAGUUACAAUACCUGCUGAAACAACAAUCAUAGCAACAAAAAACACAUCAAGUGCAGUAACAGCACCUACUGAAACAACAAAACUAACAGCAAUAGCACAAGCUACAACAACUGAAACGCCUGCACAGACAACUCCCCCCAAAACAGCAACCAUCACUGCAACAGAGGCAAUACCUUCAGAAACAGCAACUGCAGUAACAACAACAGAAUCUACAGCUACUGUAACCAAAAGAGUGACUUUCAGGUCUAUUCAAAGCACAUUCACAAAUGACUUCCUGGAUCAGUCAUCUGCAGCUUUCCAGAAUAGAGCUAAUUUGAUAACACAACAGCUUGAGCCAAUAUUCCUGCAGGCUUUUCCUUUAUCUUUCAAGGUCCUGAUUAUAAUUGCAUUCAGAAGUGGGUCAAUCAUCAAUGAAAUGGAUGCUCAGUUCACAACCACAUCUACGCCAAGUAACAAUGACGUUUCAAGUGCCUUGUCCACUGCAGCUUCAAGUAUCACUGGCUUUGACAUUGACACAAGUUCCAUUACUGUUGCUUCAACAACAACAGAUGUCACAACUCAUGCAACAACAGCAGAAACCACCCCAACAGAAGCAACAACAGUGACAACACCUGCUAAAACAACAACAACAAAAGCCACAACAAAUGAAGCAACGACUGCAGUGACAACACAUGUUGAAACAACAACCAUUGCUACAACACAGGCUCCAACAACAGUGACAACACCAUCUGAAACAACAACAGUAGCAAUACCAACUGAAGUAACAAUUGAAGUGAAAACACCCACUGAAACAAUGCGAUCAACAGCAGAAGCAACAACAAUUUCAGUGACAACACCUGCUGAAACGCCGACAAAAGCCACAACAACUGAAGCAACAAGUGAAAGGACAACACCUACUGAAACAACAACAGAACCUACAACAGAAGCAACAACUACAGUGACAACACCUUUUAAGACAACAACUAUCGCUACAAUUAAGGCAACAACUGCAGUGACAACACAUGCAAAAACAAUCAUGCUAGCAACAACAACUGAAGCAACAACUGCAAUGAAAACACCUACUGAAACAUCAACACUAGCAAUAACAACUGAACACACAAAGAGUGACGAAGCAACUACAGUGACAACACCUACUGAAACAUCAACCGUAGCAACAAAUGAAGCAACAAUAGUGCCUACAACUGAUGCAACAACUGCAGUGACAACACCUGCAAAAACAACAACUGAAGAAACAACUACAAUGGCAACACUUGUUGAAACAACAACCACCGCUACAACUGAGGCAACAACUAUAGUGACAACACCUACUAAAACAACAAUAGCAACAACAAGUGAAGCAACAACUACAGUGGAAACACAAACUGAAACAACACUAUCAGCAACAGAAGCAACAAUUCCAGUGACAACACUUACAGAAACAUCAACACUCGUAACAACAGCUGAAGCAACAACUAUAGUAACAAUUCCUUCUGAAACAUCAACACUAGCAACAACAACAGAACUCACAAAAACUAAGGAAGCAACUCCAUUGACAACAGCUACUGAAACAACAAUAGCAACAACUGAAGCGACAACUGCAGUGAAAAUACCCACUGAAACAAUGCUAUCAGCAACAGAAGCAACAACUACAGUGAAAUCACCCACUGAAACAACACUAGCAAACACAGAAGCAACAAGUUUAGUGACAACACCUGCUGAAACAACAACAGAAGCCACAACAACUGAAGCAACAACUGCAGUGACAACACCUACUGAAACAUCAACGGUAGCAACAACUGAAGCAAUAACUACAGUGGCAAUACCCACAGAAACAACACUAGCAACAACAAUUUCAGUGACAACACCUGCUGAAACAACACAAGCCAUGACAACUAAAAUAACAACAGAACCUGCAACUGAAGCAACAACUACAAUGACAACACUUGCAGAAACAUCAACACUAGCAACAACAGCUGAAGCAACAACUAUAGUAACAAUUUCUUCUGAAACAUCAACACCAGCAACAACAACAGAACUCACAAAAACUAAGGGAGCAACUGCAUUGACAACAGCUACUGAAAUAACAAUAGCAACAACUGAAGCGACAACUGCAGUGAAAAUACCCACUGAAACAAUGCUAUCAGCAACAAAAGCAACAACUACAGUGACAACACCCACUGAAACAACACUAGCAAACACAGAAGCAACAAGUUUAGUGACAACACCUGCUGAAACAACAACAGAAGCCACAACAACUGAAGCAACAACUGCAGUGACAACACCUACUGAAACAUCAACGGUAGCAACAACUGAAGCAACAACUACAGUGACAACACCCACUGAAACAACACUAGCAAACACAGAAGCAACAAGUUUAGUGACAACACCUGCUGAAACAACAGAAGCCACUACAACUAAGGCAACAACUGCAGGGACAACACCUAUUCAAACAACAAUGGUACCAACAAGAGAACCUACAGCAAUUGAAACACCUGCAGAUACAACUACUGAGGAAAUAUCUCCAGUGACAACACCUUCACAAACAACAACAGCAGCAACAAUAACCGAAUCUCCAGCCAUAGUGACCAAAAGAGUUACUUUCAGGUCUCCUCACAGCACAUUCACAAAUGACUUGCUGGAUCAAUCAUCUGCAGCUUUUCAGAAUAGAGCGACAAUGAUAACACAACAGCUUGGGCCAAUAUUCCUGCAGGCUUUUCCUUUGUCCUUCAAGGUCCUGAUUAUAAUCGCAUUCAGAAGUGGGUCAAUCAUAAAUGAAAUGGACGCUCAGUUCACAACCACAUCGACGCCAAGUAACACGGAUGUUUCAAGCGUCUUGUCCAGUGCAGCUUCAAGCGUGACUGGCUUUGACAUUGAAACAAGCUCCAUUACUGUUGAUUCUACAACAGCAGAUGUGACAACACUUGCUGAAACAACAACUGUAGCAACAACAGCAGAGCCCACUACAAUGACUGAACCACCUGUGGAAAAAACAACUACAGUAACAACACGAGAUGAGACAACAGUUGAUGCUGUCACUGUUGCUACAACUGAGGUAGCAGCAACUACAAUGACAACACAGACUGAAACAAUUCUAGCAACAGUAGAAGCAAUAACAAUUUCCGUGACGACACUUAAUGAAACAACAGUAGAACCCACAACAACUGAAGCAACAACUGCAGAGAUAACACCCACUAUCACAAAGCUAGCAACAACAAUUUCAGUGACAACACCUGCUGAAACAACAACAGAAUCUACAACAACUGAAGCAACUACUGCAGUGACAACACCUGUUGCGACAACAACAGAACCCACAAUUGAAGCAACAACUGCAAUGAAAAUACGCACUGAAACAACGCUAUCAGCAACAGAAUCAACAACAAUUUCAGUGAAAACACCAGCUGAAACAACAACAGAGGCCAAAACAACUGCAGUGACAACACCUUCUGAAAAAUUAACACGAGCAACAACAACUGAAGCAACAACUGCAGUGACACCUCUUGAAACAUCAACAGAACCUACAACAAUUGAUGCAAUAACUACACCAAAAACACCUACUGAAACAACACAACCAGUAACAAAAGCAACAACAAGUUCUGUGACACCUGCUGAAACAACAACAGAAGCCACAACAACUGCAGUGACAGCACUGCCUGAAAUAACAACAAAACCUAAAACAACUGAAGCAACAAUUUCAGUGACAACACCUGCUGAAACUACAACAGAACCUACAAUGCCUGGAGCAACAAUUACAGUGACAACACCUACUGAAACAACAAUGGUCGCAACAACUACAGUGACAACACCCACUAAAACAACACAAGUAACAACGGAAGCAACAACAAUUUCAGUGACAACACCUGCUGAAACAACAAUAGAAGCAACAACUGCAGUGACAACACCGACUGAAACAACAGAAUCAACAAUUGAAGCAAGAACUACAGUAACAACACCAACUCAAAUAACCCUAGCAACAACAGAAGCAACAACAAUUUCAGUGACAACAUCAGCUGAAACAACAACUGAAGCAACAACUGCAGAGCCCACUACAACAAAUGAACCACCUGCAGAAAAAACAACUGCAAGAACAACACAAGAUGAAACAACAGCCAUUGCUGAAACUGUUGCUACAGCUGAGGUAGGAACAACUACAGUGACAACACUGACUGAAACAACUUUUGCAACAACAGAAGCAACAACAAUUUCAAUGACAACACUUACUGAAACAACAACAGAACCUACAACAACAGAAGCAACAGCUACAGUGACAACACCCACUGAAAUAACGCUAGCAGCAAAAGAAUCAACAACAAUUUCAGUGACAACACCUGCUGAAAGUACAACAGAACCUGCAACAACUGAAAGAACAAUUACAGUGACAACACCUACUGAAACAACAAUGGUAGCAACAACUACAGUGACAAAACCCAUUAAAACAACUCAAGUAACAACAGAAGCAAGAACAAUUUCAGUGACAACGCCUGCUGAAACAACAAUAGAAGCAACAACUGCAGUGACAACAACUAUUGAAACAACAACUGAAGCAACAACUACAGUGGCAACACCCACUGAAACAACAACAGAACCCACAACAACUGAAGCAACAACAAUUUCAGUGACAACAUCGACUGAAACAACACCAGUAACAACAGAAGCAACAACAAUUUCAGUGACAACACCUGCAGAAAAAACAAUAGAAGCAACAACUGCAGUGACAACACCUACUGAAACAACAACAGAAUUAACAACAAUUGAAGCAACAACUACAGUGACAACACCCACUGAAAUAACACUAGCAGCAACAGAAGCAACAACAAUUUCAGUGACAACACCAGCUAAAACAAAAAGUGAAGCAACAACUGCAGGGACAACACCUAGUGAAACAACAGUAGCAGCAACAAAAGCAACAACAAUUUCAGUGACAACACCUACUGAAACAACAACAGAAUCAACAACAAUUGAAGCAACAAUUACAGUGACAACACCCACUGAUAAAACCCUAGCAGCAACAGAAGCAACAACUGCAGAGAUAACACCCACUGUCACAAAGCUAGCAACGACAAUUUCAGUGACAACACCUACUGAAACAACAACAGAAUCAACAACAACUGAAGCAACAACAAUUUCAGGGACAACACCUACUGAAAUAACAGUAGCAGCAACAGAAGCAACGACCAUUUCAGGGACAACACCUACUGAAACAACAGGAGCAGCAACAGAAGCAACAACCAUUUCGGUGACAAAACCUACUGAAAAAACAACUCGAGCAACAGCUACAGUGACAACAUCUACUGAAACAACACUAGUAACAACAGAAACAACAACAAUUUCAGUGACAAUACCUGCUGACACUACAACAGAACCUACAACUGCAUUGACAACACCUACUGAAACAACAACAACAAAAUCAACAACAACUGAAGCAACAACUACAGUGACAACACCCACUGAAAUAACCCUAGCAGCAACAGAAGCAACAACAAUUUCAGUGACAACACCUGCUGAAAUAACAAUAGAAGCAACAACUGCAGUGACAACGCCUACUGGAACAACAACAGAAUCAACAACAAUUGAAGCAACAACUACAGUGACAACACCCACUGAAAUAACACUAGCAGCAACAGAAGCAACAACAAUUUCAGUAACAACACCAGCUGAAACAAAAAGUGAAGCAACAACUGCAGUGACAACACCUACUGAAACAACAACUGAAGCAACAACAAUUUCAGUGACAACACCAGCUGAAACAAUAACUGAAGCAACAAUUACAGUGACAACACCUACUGAAACAACACUAGUAACAACAGAAGCAACAAUUUCAGUGACAAUACCAGCUGAAACAACAACUGAAGCAACAACUGCAGUGACAACACCUACUGAAACAACAACAGAAUCAACAGCAACUGAAGCAACAACUGCAGCGACAACACCUACUAAAACUACAACUGGAGGGACAACACCUAUUGAAACAACACUAUCAACAACAGACCCUACAGCAAAUGAAACAACGACUGCUGAUCCAAGAACUGAGGAAAUAACUCCAGCAACAAAAUCUUCACAAACAACAACUGCACCAGCAACAACAGAGUCUCCAGCCACAGUCACCAAAAGAGUUACUUUCAGGUCUCUUCAAAUCACAUUCACAAAUGACUUGCUGGAUCAAUCAUCUGCAGCUUUUCAGAAUAGAGCGACAAUGAUAACACAACAGGUAAGUGAUAAAUGAAUGUUGUUGUUCCUAAACGCUCCAGUUAUUGCUUCUAUUCAGUUCGGACUAUAGUUGCUGGGUGCAUGUUUGACAACAGCAAACCUUGUGAUGUAGUUUUUUAAAAUUAAUUCCUAAGAUGAAAGAAGCUGUAUUUACAUAUUAUGAGCUAAGAAUUACCAGCUUUAUUUACCUCUUUAGCUGAACAGUUUGAUGCUUAAUGCUACUACAGCGUUGGUUCUAUUGCUGCUGUGUUGUAUAAUAUACUUGUUAAUAAAUACCGAUGUUAUUGAAUCGAAUGUGAAUAAAACUUCAAUUAAUGUUUAUUUUUUGCAGCUUGUACCAAUAUUCCUGCAGGCUUUUCCUUUGUCCUUCAAGGUCCUGAUUAUAAUCGCAUUCAGAAGUGGGUCAAUCAUAAAUGAAAUGGAUGCUCAGUUCACAACCACAUCGACGCCAAGUAACACCGAAGUUUCAAACGUCUUGUCCAGUGCAGC